rnacentral:rRNA from 1 species
GACGAACGCUGGCGGCGUGCCUAAUACAUGCAAGUCGCGCGAGCGGCGGACGGGUGAGUAACACGUAGGAACCUACAGAUAAGCGGGGGACAACAUCCGGGAACGGGUGCUAAUACCGCAUUCAUUCGAUGGCCUUGAGGUGAAUUAGCUCGUUGGUGGGGUAACGGCCUACAAAGGCAAUGAUGCAUAGCCGACCUGAGAGGUUAAUCGGCCACAGUGGAACUGAGACACGGUCCAGACUCCUACGGGAGGCAGCAGUGGGGAAUAUUGCACAAUGGGCGCAAGCCUGAUGCAGCCAUGCCGCGUGUAUGAAGAAGGCCUUCGGGUUGUAAAGUACUUUCAGCGAGGAGGCGUUACUCGCAGAAGAAGCACCGGCUAACUCCGUGCCAGCAGCCGCGGUAAUUC